rnacentral:rRNA from 1 species
UACGUAGGGUGCGAGCGUUGUCCGGAAUUAUUGGGCGUAAAGAGCUCGUAGGCGGUUUGUCGCGUCGACUGUGAAAACCCGAGGCUUAACCUCGGGCCUGCAGUCGAUACGGGCAGACUAGAGUUCGGUAGGGGAGACUGGAAUUCCUGGUGUAGCGGUGAAAUGCGUAGAUAUCUGGAGGAAUACCGGUGGCGAAGGCGGCAUCCUGGACCGGCAUUGACGCUGAACAGCGAAAGCUAGGGGAGCGAACAGG